rnacentral:pre_miRNA from 11 species
GCCCGCACGGGAAAAUGCAUUAUCUUGUGCGGUUAUCUUAAGCCGUUCGCACGGGAUAAUGCAUUUUCCCGUGCGGGC